rnacentral:rRNA from 1 species
UUAAGCGACUAAGCGUACACGGUGGAUGCCCUGGCAGUCAGAGGCGAUGAAGGACGUGCUAAUCUGCGAUAAGCGUCGGUAAGGUGAUAUGAACCGUUAUAACCGGCGAUUUCCGAAUGGGGAAACCCAGUGUGAUUCGUCACACUAUCAUUAACUGAAUCCAUAGGUUAAUGAGGCGAACCGGGGGAACUGAAACAUCUAAGUACCCCGAGGAAAAGAAAUCAACCGAGAUUCCCCCAGUAGCGGCGAGCGAACGGGGAGCAGCCCAGAGCCUGAAUCAGUGUGUGUGUUAGUGGAAGCGUCUGGAAAGGCGCGCGAUACAGGGUGACAGCCCCGUACACAAAAAUGCACAUACUGUGAGCUCGAUGAGUAGGGCGGGACACGUGGUAUCCUGUCUGAAUAUGGGGGGACCAUCCUCCAAGGCUAAAUACUCCUGACUGACCGAUAGUGAACCAGUACCGUGAGGGAAAGGCGAAAAGAACCCCGGCGAGGGGAGUGAAAAAGAACCUGAAACCGUGUACGUACAAGCAGUGGGAGCACAGAGCAAUCUGUGUGACUGCGUACCUUUUGUAUAAUGGGUCAGCGACUUAUAUUCUGUAGCAAGGUUAACCGAAUAGGGGAGCCGAAGGGAAACCGAGUCUUAACUGGGCGUUAAGUUGCAGGGUAUAGACCCGAAACCCGGUGAUCUAGCCAUGGGCAGGUUGAAGGUUGGGUAACACUAACUGGAGGACCGAACCGACUAAUGUUGAAAAAUUAGCGGAUGACUUGUGGCUGGGGGUGAAAGGCCAAUCAAACCGGGAGAUAGCUGGUUCUCCCCGAAAGCUAUUUAGGUAGCGCCUCGUGAAUUCAUCUCCGGGGGUAGAGCACUGUUUCGGCAAGGGGGUCAUCCCGACUUACCAACCCGAUGCAAACUGCGAAUACCGGAGAAUGUUAUCACGGGAGACACACGGCGGGUGCUAACGUCCGUCGUGAAGAGGGAAACAACCCAGACCGCCAGCUAAGGUCCCAAAGUCAUGGUUAAGUGGGAAACGAUGUGGGAAGGCCCAGACAGCCAGGAUGUUGGCUUAGAAGCAGCCAUCAUUUAAAGAAAGCGUAAUAGCUCACUGGUCGAGUCGGCCUGCGCGGAAGAUGUAACGGGGCUAAACCAUGCACCGAAGCUGCGGCAGCGACGCUUAUGCGUUGUUGGGUAGGGGAGCGUUCUGUAAGCCUGCGAAGGUGUGCUGUGAGGCAUGCUGGAGGUAUCAGAAGUGCGAAUGCUGACAUAAGUAACGAUAAAGCGGGUGAAAAGCCCGCUCGCCGGAAGACCAAGGGUUCCUGUCCAACGUUAAUCGGGGCAGGGUGAGUCGACCCCUAAGGCGAGGCCGAAAGGCGUAGUCGAUGGGAAACAGGUUAAUAUUCCUGUACUUGGUGUUACUGCGAAGGGGGGACGGAGAAGGCUAUGUUGGCCGGGCGACGGUUGUCCCGGUUUAAGCGUGUAGGCUGGUUUUCCAGGCAAAUCCGGAAAAUCAAGGCUGAGGCGUGAUGACGAGGCACUACGGUGCUGAAGCAACAAAUGCCCUGCUUCCAGGAAAAGCCUCUAAGCAUCAGGUAACAUCAAAUCGUACCCCAAACCGACACAGGUGGUCAGGUAGAGAAUACCAAGGCGCUUGAGAGAACUCGGGUGAAGGAACUAGGCAAAAUGGUGCCGUAACUUCGGGAGAAGGCACGCUGAUAUGUAGGUGAAGUCCCUCGCGGAUGGAGCUGAAAUCAGUCGAAGAUACCAGCUGGCUGCAACUGUUUAUUAAAAACACAGCACUGUGCAAACACGAAAGUGGACGUAUACGGUGUGACGCCUGCCCGGUGCCGGAAGGUUAAUUGAUGGGGUUAGCGCAAGCGAAGCUCUUGAUCGAAGCCCCGGUAAACGGCGGCCGUAACUAUAACGGUCCUAAGGUAGCGAAAUUCCUUGUCGGGUAAGUUCCGACCUGCACGAAUGGCGUAAUGAUGGCCAGGCUGUCUCCACCCGAGACUCAGUGAAAUUGAACUCGCUGUGAAGAUGCAGUGUACCCGCGGCAAGACGGAAAGACCCCGUGAACCUUUACUAUAGCUUGACACUGAACAUUGAGCCUUGAUGUGUAGGAUAGGUGGGAGGCUUUGAAGUGUGGACGCCAGUCUGCAUGGAGCCGACCUUGAAAUACCACCCUUUAAUGUUUGAUGUUCUAACGUUGACCCGUAAUCCGGGUUGCGGACAGUGUCUGGUGGGUAGUUUGACUGGGGCGGUCUCCUCCUAAAGAGUAACGGAGGAGCACGAAGGUUGGCUAAUCCUGGUCGGACAUCAGGAGGUUAGUGCAAUGGCAUAAGCCAGCUUGACUGCGAGCGUGACGGCGCGAGCAGGUGCGAAAGCAGGUCAUAGUGAUCCGGUGGUUCUGAAUGGAAGGGCCAUCGCUCAACGGAUAAAAGGUACUCCGGGGAUAACAGGCUGAUACCGCCCAAGAGUUCAUAUCGACGGCGGUGUUUGGCACCUCGAUGUCGGCUCAUCACAUCCUGGGGCUGAAGUAGGUCCCAAGGGUAUGGCUGUUCGCCAUUUAAAGUGGUACGCGAGCUGGGUUUAGAACGUCGUGAGACAGUUCGGUCCCUAUCUGCCGUGGGCGCUGGAGAAUUGAGGGGGGCUGCUCCUAGUACGAGAGGACCGGAGUGGACGCAUCACUGGUGUUCGGGUUGUCAUGCCAAUGGCACUGCCCGGUAGCUAAAUGCGGAAGAGAUAAGUGCUGAAAGCAUCUAAGCACGAAACUUGCCCCGAGAUGAGUUCUCCCUGACUCCUUGAGAGUCCUGAAGGAACGUUGAAGACGACGACGUUGAUAGGCCGGGUGUGUAAGCGCAGCGAUGCGUUGAGCUAACCGGUACUAAUGAACCGUGAGGCUUAACCU